rnacentral:rRNA from 1 species
UACGGGGGGGGGCAAGCGUUGUUCGGAAUUACUGGGCGUAAAGGGUUCGUAGGUGGCUCGCUAAGUCAGACGUGAAAUCCCUCAGCUUAACUGGGGAACUGCGUCUGAGACUGAUGAGCUUGAGUGCAGGAGAGGAACGCGGAAUUCCAGGUGUAGCGGUGAAAUGCGUAGAUAUCUGGAGGAACACCGGUGGCGAAGGCGGCGUUCUGGACUGCAACUGACACUGAGGAACGAAAGCCAGGGGAGCAAACGGG